GGGCUCGUGGUCUAGCUGGUUAUGACGUCGCCUUCACACGGCGGAGAUCCUGAGUUCGAAUCUCAGCGGGCCCA
rfam:Methanospirillum hungatei JF-1, complete genome.